rnacentral:lncRNA from 14 species
ACAUAUUGUAUCUGAAAGGGAAUAGAUUCUUACAGGUUUUAUUUGUGGGGAANNNNNNNNNNNNNNNNNNNNCCCUCCUUCCUGUUUUCCUACAAAAACAGGCCAACACCAACCCCCUGCCAGGUGCUCUGCAGGGCCCCGCUCCGGCCACAGGCAAUUGCCCUGUGGUGGUCUUAGAGAGGUAAGAUCUGUUGCCUCCCUGCAUACCUGAGCAGCAAGAUGUGAACCUCGGGGAGACUGAAUGCUGAAGGAAAUGGGUCAGAAGCAUUGAGCUGCAUGGGGACAGAGUCUGGAUUCCCCAGCAACACCAUAAGUUCAGGAAAUUUCUUCUCUUCCUGCCUUGGGCAAAAAUGGAGUUAUGGAAAUGAAAAUAUGCACAUAAUAUUAAAGGAGAAAAUCUUUGUCCAAAAGGAAAUUAUAAAGAAUGCUUCAAAGAAUUACUGAAAGCAAAUGAAAAUUCUCUUUGAGAAGUAAAGUAUCCCCAGGAAGCAGUGCCAAUCUUGCAUGCAAGUCUGAAAGAUCAUGGCUACAGUCUCCUCUGCCAUCGGCUCAUGGGACAAGAAGCAGAGGGGCAAGUCCAGUAGACAGCUGAGCAGACGCUUAUAAAUAUAUUCAGCAGAAGAAAUGGAGAGAUGCCACUAAAGUACACGCUGAAGAACCUCGUGUUAGCCUUCUGCAAUGAAAACCAG